rnacentral:lncRNA from 1 species
CACACAAAGUCUCUUGGAAAGGCGGGGCAACGCGAGAAGCUCAUGAAAGCUGCUGCAGAAACCUUGUGAAGGCUGUUCCGGCUCCACUUCAGAGGCUGAGGAGCCCAGGAAGCAAGUUCCUGAGGGCCUCUGUGACCUGAGGGGAAAGGAGGCCUCUGAGGCUGAAGAAGAGAAGCAGGAAGCAAGUUCCUGAGGCCGCUCUGACCCUCCGGGGAAAAGGAGGCCUCCUGCUUCCUCGGCUUCAGGCAUUGCCCAGGCAUCUUCUGGACCAGACCGCGCUGAGGCUGGUGAGAAGUGUUGCAACCUUCUUCUGCUGCAAGCAUCACGAACCUUCUGCAGGACAGCCAGGGUCCCGUCCCUGCAAGGAUCAGCUUCGAAAAUUUUCCAGUUUUCCUUUGCAAAUCAAGUCAAUCACCUACAUAUUUGACUAAAGGCUUUGCCAGCUGGGCUGUCUUGCUGAGGCC